GAAGGAACAUGGUAUAUAUUAUAUUUAAAGACAUUGGUUACGAAAUGGGAUGUUCGCUUUUUGGAGAUGAUUUCACUGUAUGGAAAAGAGUGAGGAACCAGCAAGACAUCCAACGAUCUGGGCCAGAACCAGCAGCUCCCAGUGAGCCCCAGGCAGAUAAAAAGUCACUCUUCCUGCAGUAAAGACACAUGGGGUGAUGGAACAUUAUGGGGAGAAGGCACAGUUGAUUCUACUCGAUACACCCCCACCGAACCCAAGGAAAAACAACAACUCACAUUAGGUCGCAUAGUAACGAAGCACAGCAUAUGGCACCUGGAGGCAGGGCGCUAUACCCCUCACCACCAGGAGGCGUCACCCUGCUACAAACCGAGCCGGGCGUGGAAACGCGUUCACCCUGAAGUCGAGCUGAGCUGGUGGAAAAGGGGCAACACAGAACCUAAAUGAUAUGCUAACCWCUGGGUUUUAUCCAUUGAGCUCUAUUUCUCAGAAUGCAUUUCAUCCUGGCCAAUUAGUAAACAGAAGAAGUUGUGAACAAUGUCGAUUUUCUGUGCCGUUAUUCAGUUGUAGUCUGCCUAUGGUUGUACUUUGGUAACGCAGCGGAGGAAAUGAAUGAAGCCAUUAAGUCUGUUCRUGUUGGCCAUGCUUCCAAAUAUUGAUCAAUUAAAAUCAGCAACAGGAUUGUUUACGAAACUGUAUUGUUGACAAACCAGGUGAUGUAAACUGUGGGUGCCAGUAAAGUUUGUGCUCCAAUAUAAAGAAGUCAKCAGUUUGUACACAUCUUAUGUUUUCAGGUAGUUGAGUCCAAAGUUUGUUGAAGCGUUUGAGGA